GACAAUUAAAAAUUUGUUGUUGUGUUAAUUUGUUUCAGUAUUUUGUUGUUUUGAAAAAUUAACUGUGUUGCUAAAUCCGAACAUGCACUGUUUUUUUUGCAAUUAAUUCUUAGACAAUUGAAGAUUUGCUGUUGUGUCAAUUUGUUUCAGUAUUUUGUUGUUUUGAGAAAUUCACUCAGUUUUGAUCCUGCAGUCUCCUCCCCAACCUAUUGAUGAUAUUUAAAAAAAUUAAAAUAGAAUCAGAUAUUGUUAUCAGAUUAAGAAAAAUGUGUAUGAAAAAAUCGAAAAAGAUUAAAAACAAUGAAUCAAAAUAGAUCAUCAGAUCCGGCCCACUAACGGUCACGCAUCGUUCGUCUGCACCUUCUGAUCGCAUUAUGGUCAAUGGAUCCAUCUACAUUAUGGGGCGAGAACAGGCCCAGUGAACGGGACCAGAGGAAAAGCCUUUUCAUUUUAGGUUUUAGGGCACGAGAGAUAAACGUGAUAGAAACGUUUAUAAAAAGACUAAAAAUCAAUCGAUUUUUUAUCACCCGCCGCCGCUCUUCUUCUUUCCGAGGUUAGAGUUUGGAUCUGGCGAUUGUUAUCUUAUUUUACAGGAGAAAUCAUUGAAUGCUCGAAAGAUGUUCUACCUGUGUCUUUCAUUUGUUUGUCUUUCAUCUUUUUAAUAUUCUGUAGAUCGUUUUUAUCUUGCUUAAAACCGUCGAACCAUUUAUUGGAGAUUUGGUUGUUUCACAGAUGCAUCAUCUAUAGGGUAUUCUCGUUGUUUCGGUUUUUUAUUCUUAUAUGUUUCAAUUAAAUUUCGUAAAUCUUUGAAUUUUCGUUUUAGAUUUUUAUGUUUGUGGAUUUUAGUAUCUUUUCCUCUGAUUCGGUAGAUAUUUUUAGUUUCAAAUGUUUUUCUUGGAUUUUUCUUUUUUACUAUACGAUUUUAGAAUUAGCAUUGUUCUAAAAUAUAUUUUUCAAUAAUAAUUUUUAUUUCCUCUAAAUGAUGAAUCGUUAUAAGAAAGCUAUGGAUUCUAACAUCCAAAUGAUGCUUUUGUCAUAGUUACUCUGAUGGGAUUUUUUAAAAAGUUUUUAUUAUUUUUUUGGUAUUUCAAAGUAUCAUUUGAAAUUGUUUAUUUAUCAUUUUCUUUGUUCUAUUAGAUCUAUUGGGGCAACUUUGCCGAGGUGAUCAAUUAUCAUUUGAUUUCCUCUUUUUCCCUGUUGCCCAUAUUCAUAUUGUUUAAGUAUGUUUAUCAUGGUAUUGUGUUAUACAAUAUCCCACUUCUAAAGCAUACAUUAGUUUGUUUUUUUGUCUGAAAUAACGCCCAAUGAUGGAAAAUUAUAUUAUCUUGAGCGGUUGUUAAGUUUUCUUCUUUUGAGAUUAUCGGCGUUCAUUCAUCAUCAUUUAAUCACUACAUUCAUUCUCCUUUUUCCAUUUUCACAACCACAACCAUUAUUUUAUAUCCAUCUUCAUCACCAUUUCAUGCCGAUUUUUCUCUUAAUUUGAUGCCUUAAUAAAUCGUAUAUGAGUUGCUUAGCUAUGAGAUCUGAGGGCUUUGUUCGGUUUUUUAUUAUUUUUUAUAUCUUCUGUGUUGGUAGUUUUAAAUAUCUUCUUAAUUUCGGUAGCUAUGUGUAAUUUUGGUUUUCAUGCUGCUAUUAUGUAAUAUUACCAAUACAUAAAAUUAGGUUUGUUUGAAAAUUUGAAAUUAGUUUGACGUGAGAGAUGAAAUUAGGUUAUAACUUGAAUAUCUAAUCUAAUUUUCUUUAUAUCAUUAUUUUUAGUCUCAAAUCUCAAUUAUAUGUUUUUAUAGUUGAAUCUAAAUAAUUAGUUUACGUUUAUUUGAUAAUCACAUAGUUCUUUUGAUUGUAUCAAUUUUGGUUUAUUUUUUUAAAAUCAAUAUGAAUGAUGAGAAUAAAUGCUUCAUUUUUCAUUGGAAGAUUGAAGAAAGCAGAUCGCAUAUGGUAUGUUUUUUUAUGGUUUUAUGUUUAUAAUAAUCUCAUUUAAAAUUCUAUUCUCAUCCACUUUUUGUUUAUGAAUGUUUUGCAGUCUCUUGAAAAAUAAUAAUUUUUUGACUAGUGUUGAAUCAACGGCUUGGAUUUGAUUGUUUGUGAUGGUGUUCAGUGUCGUUUUUAGUUGUUUCUUCCUGGUUUGUCGAGCUUGACAAUUCUACCGAAAAUUUCUUAUGUUGGAGAAGCAAAACGAGCUUUAAUUUUUGUUGAAAAUAGAAUUUUAACGAACUUUUUGGUUCAUUGUAAUUUAAAAUUAUUAUAUUCAUUCUAUAAAAUGAUAUUUUUAAAAUUUGAUUAUCAGUAUAAAAAAUUUCAUUUGUAAUUUUUUUUGUUGUUUUGAAUUUUAAUCACUUCAUAA
rnacentral:lncRNA from 1 species